rnacentral:rRNA from 1 species
UAUCUCUGUAGAGUCUGCAUAUCAAUAAGCGGAGGAAAAGAAACUAACUAGGAUUCCCUCAGUAACGGCGAGUGAAGCGGGAAGAGCUCAAAUUUGAAAUCUUCAAGGUUCUACCUUGACGAAUUGUAGUUUAAAGAAGUGUUUUCUGUUGAAGUUUUGGUAAAAGUUCUUUGGAAUAGGACAUCAUAGAGGGUGAGAAUCCCGUAUUUGACCAGUUAUUUUCCAGCUGUGUGAUACACUUUCAAAGAGUCGGAUUGUUUGGGAAUGCAGUCCAAAAUGGGUGGUAAAUUUCAUCUAAAGCUAAAUAUUGGCGAGAGACCGAUAGCGAACAAGUACCGUGAGGGAAAGAUGAAAAGAACUUUGAAAAGAGAGUUAAACAGUACGUGAAAUUGUCAAAAGGGAAGCGUUUGACACCAGUGUUGUUUCUACGAAAAUCAAUUUAUGAUGGCUUGAUGCUAAGCUUUAAGACUUUAUCCGCUUGUUGUUUAGUUUUCUUGUCUUUGUGAAUGCACCUUUCGUGGAACAAGUCUACAUCAAUUUCUUUUGCUGUAAAAGGGUAAGAGGAAGGUGGCUUCGGCUUCGGUUGAAGUGUUUAUAGCCUUUUAUCUCUGCAGUCGGAGAGAUUGAGGUCUGCAGCGUAGACUCUUCGGGGUUAGAUACGUCGGUGCUAAGCUAUAGCUUUUCAUAGACAACUUGUUGACUAUGUUUAGUCAUGUGGCUUACCCGCUGGCGCUAUUUUACCUACGCUUAGGAUGUUGAGUCAUCACACAUCUCU